rnacentral:lncRNA from 1 species
AGAAAAAGUAUAAUUACAAACCACUAGGAGAAAGUCGGCCUCAAAAUGGCCUAAGCAAAGACCCCUAUGGUCCGACUGACUCACUGUGAUCCCUCCGUAAGAGAACCACACAAAAAGCCAUGCAUCGGGAACCUACCCUGUCCCAAAAGCAAAACGAAUCAGAGCUAUUACAGUAACAACCAACUCCAAAAGACUCUAACCACCCAUACCCCACACUACUAUCAUCGACCCUCCCUCGAUCAGGCAUGAAGUCCGGGUCCUCGUCGAAAG